AGUAACGCGUGGGUAACCUGCCUCAUACAGGGGAAUAGCAGCUGGAAACGGCUGAUAAAACCGCAUAAGCGCACAGUGCCGCAUGGCACAGUGUGAAAAACUCCGGUGGUAUGAGAUGGACCCGCGUCUGAUUAGCUUGUUGGCGGGGUAACGGCCCACCAAGGCGACGAUCAGUAGCCGGCCUGAGAGGGUGAUCGGCCACAUUGGGACUGAGACACGGCCCAA
rnacentral:rRNA from 1 species